AGGAAUAUUGGUCAAUGGGCGAGAGCCUGAACCAGCCAAGUAGCGUGCAGGAUGACGGCCCUAUGGGUUGUAAACUGCUUUUAUAAGGGAAUAAAGUGAGUCUCGUGAGACUUUUUGCAUGUACCUUAUGAAUAAGGACCGGCUAAUUCCGUGCCAGCAGCCGCGGUAAUACGGAAGGUCCGGGCGUUAUCCGGAUUUAUUGGGUUUAAAGGGAGCGUAGGCCGGAGAUUAAGCGUGUUGUGAAAUGUAGACGCUCAACGUCUGCACUGCAGCGCGAACUGGUUUCCUUGAGUACGCACAAAGUGGGCGGAAUUCGUGGUGUAGCGGUGAAAUGCUUAGAUAUCACGAAGAACUCCGAUUGCGAAGGCAGCUCACUGGAGCGCAACUGACGCUGAAGCUCGAAAGUGCGGGUAUCGAACAGGAUUAGAUACCCUGGUAGUCCGCACGGUAAACGAUGGAUGCCCGCUGUUGGUCUGAACAGGUCAGCGGCCAAGCGAAAGCAUUAAGCAUCCCACCUGGGGAGUACGCCGGCAACGGUGAAACUCAAAGGAAUUGACGGGGGCCCGCACAAGCGGAGGAACAUGUGGUUUAAUUCGAUGAUACGCGAGGAACCUUACCCGGGCUUGAAUUGCAGAGGAAGGAUUUGGAGACAAUGACGCCCUUCGGGGUCUCUGUGAAGGUGCUGCAUGGUUGUCGUCAGCUCGUGCCGUGAGGUGUCGGCUUAAGUGCCAUAACGAGCGCAACCCCUCUCCUUAGUUGCCAUCAGGUCAAGCUGGGCACUCUGGGGACACUGCCACCGUAAGGUGUGAGGAAGGUGGGGAUGACGUCAAAUCAGCACGGCCCUUACGUCCGGGGCUACACACGUGUUACAAUGGCAGGUACAGAGAGACGGUCCCUUGCAAAAUGGAUCAAAUCCUUAAAGCCUGUCUCAGUUCGGACUGGGGUCUGCAACCCGACCCCACGAAGCUGGAUUCGCUAGUAAUCGCGCAUCAGCCAUGGCGCGGUGAAUACGUUCCCG
rnacentral:rRNA from 1 species